GACAGAGGAGCCAAGCGUUGUCCGGAUUGACUGGGCGUAAAGCGCACGCAGGCGGCCCGUUAAGUCGAACGUGAAAUCCCCAGGCUCAACCUGGGAACUGCGUCCGAUACUGGCGGGCUUGAAUCCGGGAGAGGGAUGCGGAAUUCCAGGUGUAGCGGUGAAAUGCGUAGAUAUCUGGAGGAACACCGGUGGCGAAGGCGGCAUCCUGGACCGAGAUUGACGCUGAUGCGCGAAAGCCAGGGGAGCAAACGGG
rnacentral:rRNA from 1 species